UCUCCUCCACGAACCGCCACGGA
rnacentral:siRNA from 1 species